AUUGAACGCUGGCGGCAUGCUUUACACAUGCAAGUCGAACGGCAGCGCGGGCUUCGGCCUGGCGGCGAGUGGCGAACGGGUGAGUAAUGCAUCGGAACGUGCCCAGUAGUGGGGGAUAGCCCGGCGAAAGCCGGAUUAAUACCGCAUACGACCUGAGGGUGAAAGCGGGGGACCGAAAGGCCUCGCGCUAUUGGAGCGGCCGAUGUCGGAUUAGCUAGUUGGUGGGGUAAAGGCUUACCAAGGCGACGAUCCGUAGCUGGUCUGAGAGGACGACCAGCCAAACUGGGAAUGAGACACGGCCCAGACUCCUACGGGAGGCAGCAGUGGGGAAUUUUGGACAAUGGGGGCAACCCUGAUCCAGCCAUGCCGCGUGCGGGAAGAAGGCCUUCGGGUUGUAAACCGCUUUUGUUCGGGAAGAAAUCCUCUGGGCUAAUACCCCGGGGGGAUGACGGUACCGGAAGAAUAAGCACCGGCUAACUACGUG
rnacentral:rRNA from 1 species